UCUGCACUGUAUAGUCCAGAGCGGAUUGC
rnacentral:piRNA from 1 species